GUGCUUCGUCCCUGACUCACCUUUUCCGUGCACUGCUGUACAUUUCUGUUGAGCACCACAUUACACCUCAUGCCAUUAACAUUAAACUGUGAAGAUAUGAAGACUGUAUGGUUGUGUGGCUGGGUGACACGUAGCACUGAACUCAAUGCAUUGAUAUUAUUUUGUGUAUUUCAGUAGUAUGUUGAUAUGGCAGGUCAUUUUCCCUCACAAGAAAUGCUCCCAAAAUGAGGCACAAAAGUUUCUAGUUUUUGUUCUCAUCAGUGUCAGGUGUUGGAUAAAGAGCCUAAACUGCAUUUUGCUAGACAGUUGAUCAUUUCCUUGUUUUGCUGAAAAAAAAAAAUAAUAAUAAUAAUUGCCUGCAAAUAUGUUGCCAGUCAGAUGAGCACAGCCAUGUGUCAGUGUUCAUCACUAAUUUAUAUCAAUCUCUCUCUCUCUCUCUCUCUCUCUCUCUCUCUCUCUCUCUCUCUCUCUCUCUCUCUCUCUCUCUCUCUCUCUCUCUCUCUCUCU